rnacentral:lncRNA from 1 species
ACCACUCUCCUCCAAUUUCUCAUUUCCCUCCUCAUGUACAGCGUCGUUCUUGCCUUCCACCUCAGCACAAAACAUGCUGGGUCCAUCCUCCCCACCGGAACUUAUAGUGGCCUUAUCACACUCUACCGAUCUGUCUUUUAGAAUAGUGAAAUCUGCAACCGCGGGAGAAUUGCUACCACCAAUUUCGUCAGCAUCCUCAUCAAUGAUGAGCGAAUCAACUUCUUUUGAAGCACCAUCCUUGCUGACAUCUCUCUUGUGAUAAGUAUUGCUUUCAGAUAAUGAAUCAAUGUCAGGCACAGCAAAU